rnacentral:lncRNA from 1 species
AUCCAAACAUAACAUAACAAACCUCCAGAAACAAAAAAGCGGUUGCGACUGAGGGCACGCCACGAACCAGGACGAUCAUGUUCAUCAAACCGAUCAAUGAGUGUCCCCAUCCGGUAAUCCCAUAGCUCCCAUAGCUGAAUCACACCACUGUGAAGACUCGCCAAGAUCCACAGCCUCUUGCUGUCGAAACUCAAACCUUUCACUCGAUCACUCUUCGUCUCAAUCUUCGUCAACAUCUUGUUCAACCGUUUUUUAACCUAAUUAAUCAAUCGAACAAUUAAACAGAUCAUGUAACUCACAAUUCAAAUGUAUAAUCGUGUGAUCCGUAAACCUAGAGUGAUUGUUACCUUUAGAUCUGAGAUUUGAAUGCCCUAAUUUGGAGAAUUGACUGAUUGCUUUGGGAUUUAUAUGCAGUAGGGUUGGGUUGUGAUCAGACGGUAUUUGUGUGUGUAAACUGACUAUAAUGAUUGCCGAGAAGUCGAACCGGCGCUUGAUGUUCAACAACGUGAUGAGUUGUGGUUGA